ensembl:lncRNA
CCAUUGACCAAGCUGCACUUUAUGACAAGUAGCCUAUACAGCAUAUCCUGUCUACAGGCUUCCGUAAUGUUUCUGUGUCUCUGUGUUCAUUGUGGCUUUUUUUUGUACUCUGUUCUACAGUAUGAAGUUAUAUGAUUACAGGAAAACAGGGGUUGUUCAUUUUCAUCCGUAGUUGACACUGAACGAGAACAAUCUACAGAAUCAUGUGCAAACUUCCCCUUUGGUGUUCUAUAGUAUUGCUGUUAUUCCCAGUCCCUGCAAAUGCCAGGGUGUGGAUGAACCAGUGGUCCUCAAAGAAUGCUUACAUAGUAGGGGAAACAGCUGCUCUUAAUUGCAACAUAACCUCAGAUCAUGAGGAAAUAAGAAAUUGCAAAAUGAGAUGGAUCAUUGAAGAUCAAGGUGAUGUCACAAGUUUGGAGUUGUAUAAGCAUCGUGUCAACAUGAAUUUGAGCAAAACAGCUACUACUAUGACAUUGAGAAACCUGACCUUGAGUGACACCAUUAUGCCAAUUUGCAUCGCAAAGUGCAUCAUUGACAGUGUCAACAGCAAGGUUUAUGGGGAGGGUGGCACACUUCACAUUUUUGAAGACAUCAACCAGAUGACCCUGGUCUCAAAGUUGACAACACUGGUCCCAAAGGAAAUCAAACAGGAACAUGCUCUCACUUGGCUGAACCAUGUUUUUCUCAGCAUAAACAUCCUGAUUUUCAUUGUGGCCACAAUUAUUUGUGUGUCAUACAUCAGAACCCAAAUGAAUAUGAAUUAAAAAGGGAUUGCAUUAGUUGUUAAAAUAUUGCCUGAAGCACCCUUCCAAGUUAUAGCCUAAAGCCUAUGCUCUAACACCUUUAGUAAACUGUAAACCGUGAUUUGAAAUGUUUUCGGAACAAUAGCUUUCUUCAUGCACUGCAUUUUUAUUGUGUUUUUAGGCCUGUUCAUAUUUUAUUACUCUAAUGUAUAGAAUGUAUGCCUACUGAUAUAGUUUUUACUGUCUUGUAUUAUUAUCUGAAAACAAACUAGGUAAAGGUGAAAGGUGACAAGCAUCUGGUAAAUGCAUUCCAGAUUAGAGUGAGCAAAAGACUACAUUUGAUUUACUUUCCUUUAGUAUCCAUGUGGACAUUUUGAAUACAGUUGACAUAUAUUAAUUUAAUUGUGUAUCCUAAUCAUAAUCAUUGCUAUUGAUAGAAUAUAGAUUAUUUUUCACGUCUGCUCCUGCUCUUCCCCCCCAGGUGCUUGAGGGUGCCAGGCUGCCCUGCAUCACUCACUCCUAUCAUCCACUACGCACACCUGCCUUUCCUUGUCAUGCUCUUCAGCUAUAUUGGACUCACUUAUCUGUUUAUUACCUUGCCUAUAUUUGUCAGUUUCCCUGCUGAUGCAUUGAUUGUUUUUUGUCUGUAUUAUUAGUUUACUGACGCUGUUCCUGUCUCAUGUCCGUUCUUUAUUAAAUGUUUGACUCCCCGUACCUGCUUCGUCUCUCCAGCGUCAUUCCAUGUGACACUAUGCACGAUAUGGAUACAUUCUCCCACACACCAGCCUGGUCUCAGACUAGAUGUAACAUAGUAAACAUAAGCCCGGGAUACUGAUAUUAGUAUAUGUUAUUUUUGGUAUAAUUACUUAAGGCAAAAGUAGGGUGGUUGGUCAGGGUGAAUGAGUGAGCGUAUAACACGAACGUCUAGCAACUGUCGGUGUGAAUGGGUGGGCAUUUAACACGUAUGUCUAGCAACCCAAAAGGUUACGUUUGAAUCUAAUCUUGGAUAACUUCAGCAACUUUGCAACUACAUACUACUUUUUAGCUACUUUGCAACUACUUAGCAUGUUAGCUAACCUUAACCCUUUAACCUAACCUUA